CAUUAGUCUUUCAAAUCGGCAUUCCUACAUCAAUCCUAAUUUACUACUUGUGCCAUCAAUUCCCAUUGAUAUGAGAAAAUGUGAUUUAUUGACCAAUAGCUUCAAGGAGACAAUAGCGGAAAUAAGGGAUGGUGUUUGCAUACCUUUGCCAACAACUAGGCCAAAUUGUUUCAAGGUAAGUGCGUUGAAG